UGUCCAGGGAUGGGAAUCGAACCCACAAUGUUCCGCUUACCGGGCAGAUGCCAUAUCCACUAGGCCUAAUGUCUGUUAAC
rnacentral:tRNA from 1 species